ensembl:lncRNA
AUUUUACCAUAAAAAUAAUAUUUAUAAUGGAGUUGUCCCGGAAAAGAAUUCAUUUGCAAAAUGUUUGGUGGUUAAAAAAAAAAAAAACGCCAGUGAAGACAUUUUUAAUAAGAUAUGUGUGGGAAGGAUGCUGGGUAGCACUUGUAAUCUGGGUUGAAAAUUUUUUUCUUCCCCUUGUGAUGGUAAGUGGCUCACAAUUUGGCUUCUUUAGUUUAUAUUUUUCAAGGCUAAACAAUCAACAGCAAACAAAAUUGUGAAUGUUUUUACUGCACAUAAUAAAAUAGUUGCAAUGAAAAUGAAACUUGCUAGUUGGAUAAAGAAAGUUUAUUGUGGGAACCUUGGGUCAUUUGAGCCUCUUAGUUCAUUUUCAAGUGACAAAAAUAAGAGAUUAGUUUUGAAAUGAGUAACAACAUCAGUUCUCUUUCCUUUGAAGUGGAUUGCACCUGCCUGAGCAGAACACUCCGGAAUGAGGGUUCUCCCUGUAACUUCAGUAGCUUUAAGGCCUGAGAAAAUAAGCACAGACCUGUGGAGGAAAGAGGAGUAGGCAAAGAGAAUGGUUUAGUGGGUAGCUAGAAUUCCAGGUUAGGAGAUAAAGACACCUGACCGAGCAGAAAUGAGCAUGCCUCAUACAAGAUAGUGAGGAGGCAAGGUCAACCUGGUAAGAAGAAAAGACUCAUUUGUAUAUCAAUAUGUUCUGCUGAGUGUUUCACUUGCUUCGAAACAUCAACCUGUGAGCCAGUAAAGUCUUGUCUACAAGAUGUGGAGACUGUCUUAGCCAAGAUAGACAAUGGACAAAUGAAGGGAGUUACUGCCUGCGAAAGAAAGAAAGAAAGAUUAGCAAACAGACCUCUUUUCCAAUUCCAAUUCCUCUUCCCUUCUUUCCUACUCAAAACAGCUGGACUCUUGGACUCCUAUUACCUACCUCAGCAUUUUUCAAAACAGCAGGGCAAAUCCAUUGGUGGUAUCAUGACUAUCAUUAAGGAAGAGAAAGAGAGAGAAAGGAGAAGAAAAGAAAGGGCAGAGCAUGGAAAAUGUCAAGGUGCAUUUCACAUGGCAAAUUUAUAGAUUCUUUACCAUUGGAAUAUACAUUCACCAUGGUUUCGAACAGUGAGAAAGCAAAAUCGUUUUUGAGGAAGCAGAUGGUGAAAUAUGACAUGAAGCGUGACUCUGGGCAGAGAUAAGGAGCCUCCUUCUGAACUCCUUCUCUACCUGUUAGAGCCCACAAAAAUGUGUGUGUUUGAAAUUGAACUUCUCUGAGACCCUGUUCCAUUCAAGAGGCUGAUGAAAAAUGUGACCAUAUAGCUACAAAUGGAAGUCUCAGAGUGUGUGAAACAUAGCAACCAGGAGAGAGUUCCAAGGAAAUCACCCAGCAACAAUCAGGAAGUUGAAAACAAAGCAAUCCAGUAACCAAAACAUAACCCAGACCUGCCAAGAAGUCAAGGAAAGAAAAAACACUCCAUGCAGCGUGGAGAUGCUCUGUGUCAGGUUAAAGGCAGCAGAGUAACAAGACUUGUACUUGCUCACUCAUAUUUACUGUAUGCCUACUACAUGCCAGUGCUUUGAUGCAGGAAUUCUGAUUUGAACAAGAAACAGUCCCUGUCUUCAAUAAAAUAAUAAUAAUGUAUUCUUUAAACCCCAACAAUACAGUGUGGUAAAUGCAAAGGUA